rnacentral:rRNA from 1 species
CCUACGGGAGGCAGCAGUGAGGAAUAUUGGUCAAUGGACGAAAGUCUGAACCAGCCAUGCCGCGUGCAGGAAGACGGCUCUAUGAGUUGUAAACUGCUUUUGUACGAGGGUAAACGCAGAUACGCGUAUCUGUCUGAAAGUAUCGUACGAAUAAGGAUCGGCUAACUCCGUGCCAGCAGCCGCGGUAAUACGGAGGAUCCAAGCGUUAUCCGGAUUUAUUGGGUUUAAAGGGAGCGUAGGCGGUCGGAUAAGUUAGAGGUGAAAGCCCGAGGCUCAACCUCGGAAUUGCAUCUGAUACUGUUCGGCUAGAGAGUAGUUGCGGUAGGCGGAAUGUAUGGUGUAGCGGUGAAAUGCUUAGAGAUCACGCAGAACACCGAUUGCGAAGGCAGCUUACCAAGCUGCUACUGACGUUGAGGCACGAAAGCGUGGGGAGCAAACAGGAUUAGAUACCCCAGUAGUC